CCUCCUACAGCCCCCAUGCCUUUCUUCAUCUGCUUUUUGCAAAGAAGCUAUGUGGGGGGUAGAACUUCCCCCCAGAAAGCGUGGACGUGAAAGAACAGGAUUUAAAGAAUCUCAUCUUGGACUCAGUCAUGGGUAGACCAGCUUCCGAUCAUUAAUAAACAUGACAGAUACA